CUGUCAAUUUUUUCCCCGCAUUUUUAGAACCAGGACCAGCUCGAAGAGCCCGAGGCUGGUUAUGCUUUGGAGGGGGGACCCCACGCCAUUUUUUUUUAUGAUUUUACCGUUCCAGCUCAUCGAGCUGGUCCUGGUUCUAAAAAUGCGGGAAAAAAAUUGACAGGGAAUCCCCCGUAUUUUUAAAACCAGCACCGGGCUCUGCGCCUGGUGCUGGUGCCAAAAAUACGGGGGACAAAA